GACGAACGCUGGCGGCGUGCCUAAUACAUGCAAGUCGAGCGAAGUUUUUCUGGUGCUUGCACCGGAAAAACUUAGCGGCGAACGGGUGAGUAACACGUAAAGAACCUGCCUCAUAGACUGGGACAACUAUUGGAAACGAUAGCUAAUACCGGAUAAUAGCAUUAACUGCAUGGUUGAUGUUUGAAAGUUGGUUUUGCUAACACUAUGAGAUGGCUUUGCGGUGCAUUAGCUAGUUGGUGGGGUAAAGGCCUACCAAGGCGACGAUGCAUAGCCGACCUGAGAGGGUGAUCGGCCACACUGGGACUGAGACACGGCCCAGACUCCUACGGGAGGCAGCAGUAGGGAAUCUUCCGCAAUGGGCGAAAGCCUGACGGAGCAACGCCGCGUGAGUGAAGAAGGAUUUCGGUUCGUAAAGCUCUGUUGUUAGGGAAGAAUGAUUGUGUAGUAACUAUACACAGUAGAGACGGUACCUAACCAGAAAGCCACGGCUAACUACGUGCCAGCAGCCGCGGUAAUACGUAGGUGGCAAGCGUUGUCCGGAAUUAUUGGGCGUAAAGCGCGCGCAGGUGGUUUAAUAAGUCUGAUGUGAAAGCCCACGGCUCAACCGUGGAGGGUCAUUGGAAACUGUUAAACUUGAGUGCAGGAGAGAAAAGUGGAAUUCCUGGUGUAGCGGUGAAAUGCGUAGAGAUUAGGAGGAACACCAGUGGCGAAGGCGGCUUUUUGGCCUGUAACUGACACUGAGGCGCGAAAGCGUGGGGAGCAAACAGG
rnacentral:rRNA from 1 species